UCCCCCAUGGUGUAAGGGCAGCACAACGUCUUUUGGUGUCGUCGGUCGAGGUUCGAAUCCUCGUGGGGGAG
rnacentral:tRNA from 4 species